GACGAACGCUGGCGGCGUGCUUAACACAUGCAAGUCGAACGGAAAGGCCCUGCUUUUGUGGGGUGCUCGAGUGGCGAACGGGUGAGUAGCACGUGAGUAACCUGCCCUUGACUUUGGGAUAACUUCAGGAAACUGGGGCUAAUACCGGAUAGGAGCUCCUGCUGCAUGGUGGGGGUUGGAAAGUUUCGGCGGUUGGGGAUGGACUCGCGGCUUAUCAGCUUGUUGGUGGGGUAGUGGCUUACCAAGGCUUUGACGGGUAGCCGGCCUGAGAGGGUGACCGGCCACAUUGGGACUGAGAUACGGCCCAGACUCCUACGGGAGGCAGCAGUGGGGAAUAUUGCACAAUGGGCGGAAGCCUGAUGCGGCAACGCCGCGUGCGGGAUGACGGCCUUCGGGUUGUAAACCGCUUUCGCCUGUGACGAAGCGUGAGUGACGGUAAUGGGUAAAGAAGCACCGGCUAACUACGUG
rnacentral:rRNA from 1 species